UUCAAUAUCUCAAAACUUCGUUUUUUUUUUUGUAUUGGGGUGAAGGGUCCUUUGUCCUAGAAAGUCGUAUUGAACAGUCCGACCCCGUUUUGUUCGUCCUACAUACACCAGGUAAUUGGCUUAAGGUCAAUGUCGCUAGCCAACACGUGAUAUCAUAGCAGUUGUACACAAAGCAUUAACACGUUUGCACGUAGAAUAAAAUAAUGCUGAUACAUUUGCUAAUAAAGAAAAAAUAUCAAUGUAUCGCGAAUAUAGAUAAGAUAAAGUUAUCGAUAGAUCCGUUUAGACAGUGUGGUGGACCUUUUUCGUUACAGUCGUGGAUCUGAAGUGGACAGGACUGUGCUUUUAUAUUUGUUGAACCUGUGAUAAAUAUAAAACUAGAACAAAAUGUGUUGCGUGUGCAGUUUCUUGAGUAAAGUGAUUAGUUUUAUCUUUACACUAUUGUUCAUAGUGGCGAUAAUACUGAUCAUCCUAUGGGCAACCAACAUCAUAUUUGUUAAUGACGACACCAACACCAACUCUCUAAACGAAGAAGCGAGGUCGAGAAUGAUGAAUUAUGCUGAAUAAAACAUCUUGCUUUAUCUACUUUUUUCAUUAUGCUCUGAUAUAAUGAAUAAUAAGUAUUUUAUUAAAUAAUUAUUUAUUUUAGGUAACACAUUGAUAAAGAUUUCACACACACAUUCAUUAAAUAUUCUUUUUCUACAAUUUUCUUCACUCCUACUUCUUACGCAGUUUUUACCGAUGAAUGUGAUUUAUAAUUUACAAUACUUACUGACUUUUUUAUAAAAUUAUACUUAAACGAUGUAAAUAAAGACAAUUUUUUAAAAAUA